rnacentral:tRNA from 1 species
AGCAGUGUGGCCUAGUGGAGAGAGCACUGGCCUGGGAGUCAGAAGGUCAUGGGUUCUAAUCCCAGUUCUACUG